rnacentral:lncRNA from 10 species
GGCCUGCUGGGGGGCUGGGGGAGAGAGUGGCAGGGUGAGCUGGGGACAUUGGAAAACUCUUGCAGCUGUGACUGAUGAUGGUGGGCAGGUGUAAGGGGUGGCUUUUCGGGGGAGGCACAUUUUGGCACUGGGUUAUGUGCUUCAGCACCAGGAGCAGGGGUGAGGUAGCAGACGGAGGGGAGGAGGCCAUACACCUGGGCAGGGGCUGGAUGGGACUGGCUGACAGCUGACCUCCCUCCUGUGCCCAGAGAGCCACAGCCUGCUCGGUGGCCCGCAUGGGAUGAAACCUUUGUGGUCCCAGCUUCUGAUCACUGGAGGUGAGAACUAGUUUUUGAGAGACGGGAGCAACUGCUGAAGACCCAGGGGCUGGGGCACGGCCCAGCGUUUGCUUUUGAGAGCUUCGCCAUGGCCCGUGUGGAGAGGACAGCAACCACCAGGGAGGGGGCUGGGUGCCCCAGCCUGUCUGCCAGCUUCUGAGCCCCACCUGCGUCUGCACCUACUGGAGACAGCUGGGUGGGCUCUAACCUGGAUGGUCCUGGGUGGGAAUCCCAGCUCUGCCUCAUGUGAGAUGAGGGCUGAGCCUCUGCUCAUCUUAGAACCUCAGUUUUGUCACCCAUACAAUGGGAUGGUCAGUUAGCAAGGAAACGCGUGUAGGUGCCCCGUGUAGUGCCGGCUGCCUGGGAGGCGCUCCCAGAAUGUUUCAGAGGUGAUUCUUCUCAAGGACUUCCUGGGCCCCUUGGUCAUAAGGCUCUGAAUUCCCAGCCUCUGGCCUGAGUGCCACAGACCCUAGAGGGUUCCUGGCCACUCCUGGGGUCUGUGUGGACCUCGCUGCUUAAGGCCCCCCGUGUGCACUGAAGCGCGACACCCCGCACGCAGGGGCCAUCAGGUCUUUGGGGAUUGAUAGAAUUAAGCCCAUGGAACGUGCAUUUGCUUGCUGUGAAGCCGCAACAAUCUCGCUGCCACAGGGCAGAGGACGUUCUGAACUGAGUGUCCCCUCGGCUCCCUCACCGGCCUCCUGCACCAGCAGAUGGUGCCUGAUGUGGUGGCUGGCACUGGUGCCCCUUGCCCUCUGAGCAGCGGUACCAUCAAAACCCAUCUUCCCAGCAGCUCAGGAUCACCGCGGUGGAGUUUCCAGUCGCAGAUGCCCUUGGCAGGGGCUGUGGGACUGCAGGGGAGACGGAGGUCUGGGCCCUACCAUGUGGGGGCAGCAUGCAGGAGGGGCCCAUUCCUGCCCCCCGGCAAUACAAGAAGCCUACGGGGGUGCCCAGGGGUCAGGGACCUGAGAGAUGUGCUCACUGAGACCUAGCAUGCUCACCCCCAGCUGCCAGAGGGGGUAGUUCCCAAAGAGGGGCAGGCCCUCAGAGUGAGCUCCUGUCCUGAGAUGGGCAAGGGAAUAUUCCUGGGACACUGCAGAACUGUUACCAAGCCAGGCACAGAUGGGGCCAGGCCCCUCGGCCUCUAAGACAAGGCCGGCCCAUGGAUGGAGCACGAUGGCCCUGACCUUGGGCACAGAAGCAGCUACAGAGUUUCUUGCUUCCCUGUUUGGGUUGCUGCUGGCUCAGGUACCACAGCUGGCAACAGAAACAGAGGUCAAGGCCCAGAGGGAGGGAGGGGUCGGGUCUGCUUUGUCCAGGGCUGGCUGGCCCCAGGAGGGCCCCGAAGCUGUGGCAGAAGCAGGUACCAGAUGGUCAGUGUAGCACUGUGGCUAGCACCCAAAACUGGACAUGGGCUGGGAGCAGCCUGAGAUGCAGGGCAGAGGACAGCAAGCCACGAGUCUGAAUGGCCCCUGUUCUGGAGGCAGUGCUGGGAGGUGGAGGCUGGAGGGGGUGUCUCGCAGAGCCUGGUCUGCUGAGACAUAGGCUGGGACAGGCUGCUGGGUGUACUGUCCCUGGGAAGUGCAAGGUGGCGAGUCAGGAAGGCCCCAGGAGCAGGGUUGGGGCAGGAGCCAGUGAGCAGGGCAGGACCCUCAUCUGGAGGGGCUGGGGGAGGUCUCCAGUCUGGGAUGGGGGUGUUCCCGGCACCAGCCCAGUGUUUCUGGUGCAGCAGCCACGUCAUUAUGGUUGGAAUGUGACCCCAUUAGCCCUGGGGCGGGGCUGUUCAACAUCCUGAGGAUAAUUGAUCAGAGGGAGGAGGGGCUGCACCGCUUCCUAGCAGGUUGAGUUAAUUAUCAGCCUGCAUUAGCACUUGACCUGUGGCAUGUGUCAACUCAUUACUGCUAAUUGCAGGGACUCAGUGACCUCUCCGAACUUCUGUCACCCCUGUCACGGCCCCUGCCCUGUGGAGGCCUGUGGAAUGGGAAGUGGGGAGGGGAAGGAGAAGGGGGCGGAGUCAGCCGGAGCCUCCUGGCCAGGCCUGGAGUCACCCUGUCCUGCCACAGCUCUCAUGGGUUUAGAGUGGGCCCUGGGGCAGAGGGUUUGCAAGGAUAGGGGUGGGUGGCUCUGCCGAGGGCGGUGUUCUGAGUAGGUCUCAUUCCCCAGUCUGCCCAGCCUGGCCCCACCCCAGCUCUGCUGCCCUGUUACUUUGUCCCCCUGUGUUCACCCUCCACUUCCUGCCGGGGACACUCCAAGGCCUGCCAAGGUUGGAGCAGGGGUGGGACUCAGCCAUUCAACAAACGCUUCCUUGGUUAUGCAGGGCUGGGCAUUGGGGUGGGGGGCUGACCUGGACCCUCCAAGACAUCAGAUUGUCCAACUGCUCAGUUUUCAUUGGGGCAAGUGCCUCGCUGAGGGUGAAGGGGGCUGUGAGUGCCCAUCAGGGAGCCUGGACAGGUCCCGCCUCUCACAGCUGUCCCACUCUCUGGAGCUGCCUUGGUGGCAGAUGGCACUGUCCUAGAAAGGUGAGGCUGGAGCUGUCUCUUCCACCAGGGGUGGCCAAGGACGCUUCCAGGGUCUUCCAUGCAGGCCU